CCUACGGGUGGCAGCAGUGGGGAAUAUUGCACAAUGGGGGAAACCCUGAUGCAGCGACGCCGCGUGAGUGAAGAAGUAUUUCGGUACGUAAAGCUCUAUCAGCAGGGAAGAAAAAAAGUCCUUUGGACUUUGGACGGUACCUGAAGAAGAAGCCCCGGCUAACUACGUGCCAGCAGCCGCGGUAAUACGUAGGGGGCAAGCGUUAUCCGGAUUUACUGGGUGUAAAGGGGGCGCAGACGGCGAUGCAAGCCAGGAGUGAAAGCCCGGGGCCCAACCCCGGGACUGCUCUUGGAACUGCGUGGCUGGAGUGCAGGAGGGGCAGGCGGAAUUCCUGGUGUAGCGGUGAAAUGCGUAGAUAUCAGGAGGAACACCGGUGGCGAAGGCGGCCUGCUGGACUGCAACUGACGUUGAGGCCCGAAAGCGUGGGGAGCAAACAGGAUUAGAUACCCGGGUAGUC
rnacentral:rRNA from 1 species